CUGCAAGAAAAUUUGAAAUGAUCUCAUCUUCAAGUCACCGUGACUUGUGAUUUGUUACUGCACUUGAACUAUUUCUUCAUUAAUGUCGCUCACACUUUUACGCGGCAAUCACACGUACAAUGGCGAAAAAAUGUGCACAACAAAAUUGCGAAGGCUCUCUUGUGCGUAUUGCUAAAUCACGACGUACGUUUAUUUAAGCUCAACUUCUUUUUCGCUGUAUGGACCUUUUUGCUUCCGAUAUGACGUCGAGAAUACCCAUCAUUAAACCGGAGUACGAUCUUUUUCGAACCAAUAUCGGUUCGAGACAAUGCAGUGACUGCAAUCGGCGUCCGCGUGUCCAACGCGAUAGUUGUUCCAAAGCGGGAUCAGCUUCCAAGGUAGUUAACGACCACUUGGAGGGUGCAUGCGGUAGCGACGUCACAAUGGUCAUCCCAAGCACGAAACGACAACUGCUUGGCAAGCCUGCAAAAAAUUGCAGACGUUUCCGGAUGGUACUUCCCAAGAAUUUCCGACUGCCCGCUUGUAUAAGACGCUGCUUACGCUGCAGAAAAUUCUAGGUUUAAAAGAAGCCCAAAGCAUGUAAAAUGAUGUAAUGAAUCUAGCUGCCACCGUGCGCAAAAAUUUUGUAAAGUCUCGUCACUCUGCAUUCAUUGUGAUUUUGAUGGAAUUGUUUUUCUUGUUUUUUUCUGCUUCAGAUGCUCGUUAGGUGUAAAUACUGCGUGUCUUUUCAAUUUAGCACUUCUGAACAAUAACACAGCGCGUACAUUGCAGAUUUUUUUGCGUAU